CGUCUGUCUGUCUUUCUAUCCAUCUAUCCAUCAUCUAUCUCAGGAAAAAAUAGAGACUGGAAGUGGGUUUUUUAGGUAUGCUCUCAUUUUCAGAGUCUCAGUUCAUUUCUCAUGUUUAACCUACCAAAUCAAACUUUCAGGUUGAGUCGACUUUAUCUGAAAGAACAGAUCUUACCUGAAGUCUUAUUCAUUCCAGAAACUAGCAUCUGAAGCCCCACUCUGGGUUCUUUCUACACUAAGAACAACAAAUACAGAGUUCUCAGAAAGAAAAACAAGAGAAUCGGAUUUGAAAGGCACAUGGUUUGAAUACCUACCUAUACAUUGGUUUCAAUGAAAGUGAAAUGUAUCACCAACUUCAUAGUUUGCCUGUAAAAUUUCAGCUGGUGAAAACCAGGUUAUCAUUACUGGAAAGAAUGAGUUCCACAUUCCAAUUUCAUUACAGUUAACAAGUUUGGCACCACACAGUAGAAGCUGUUUGAUGGAAGAAAAACAUUAAAAACAAACCGAAACAGAACAGACUGCAGAGGCAGAUGUUGGGAAGAUCUCACGAAGAGAUCCUUCAGGAAUAAUUUCUGCGAACAGAAACAAUAAAGAGAGUAUCUCUA